CACAAGCGGUGGAGUAUGUGGUUAAUUCGAUGCAACGCGAAGAACCUUACCUGGUCUUGACAUCCCGGAGACCCUUAGGAAACUAGGGGUGCUUCCAUCUGGAAGAAUCUGGAGACAGGUGCUGCAUGGCUGUCGUCAGCUCGUGUCGUGAGAUGUUGGGUUAAGUCCCGCAACGAGCGCAACCCUUGCCUUUAGUUGCCAGCAGUUCGGCUGGGCACUCUAAAGGGACUGCCGGUGUUAAACCGGAGGAAGGUGGGGAUGACGUCAAGUCCUCAUGGCCUUUAUGACCAGGGCUACACACGUACUACAAUGGCCGAUACAAAGGGCAGCGACACUGCGAGGUGAAGCCAAUCCCGUAAAAUCGGUCUCAGUCCGGAUUGGAGUCUGCAACUCGACUCCAUGAAGUUGGAAUCGCUAGUAAUCGUGGAUCAGCAUGCCACGGUGAAUACGUUCCCGGGUCUU
rnacentral:rRNA from 1 species